UACAGAGGGGGCAAGCGUUAUUCGGAAUUAUUGGGUGUACGGUAAAGGGCGCGUAUGGCGGCUUUUCAAAGUGACGGGGUGAAAUCCCUCGGGCCUUCAACCUGAAGGAAGCUGUCCUGUCGAGACUGGAAGGCUUGAGACCGGGAGAGGUGAGUGGAAAUUCCCAGUGUAGCGGUGAAAUGCGUAGAUAUUGGGAGGAACACCAGUGGCGAAGGCGGCCUCACUGGACCGGAACUGACGACUGAGGCGGCGAAAGCGGGUGGGAGACCAAACAG
rnacentral:rRNA from 1 species